ensembl:lncRNA
UGACAUCACAGCAGAGAGGCGAAUCUGGCAUUGAUAUUUGACAUCACAGCAGAGAGGUGAGUCUGGUAUUGAUAUUUGACAUCACAGGAGAGAGACGAGUCUGGAAUUGACAUUUGACAUCACGUCAGAGACACGCCCUGUGCUCGGCGAUAGCUCAUACUUCACGUCAGACACACCCCGUGUGUGUGGCGAUUGCUGAUAAGUUAUGUCACAGACACGCCCAACUAUUGGCGAUCGCUAAUACGUCACGUCACAGACACGCCCGGUGAGUGGCGAUUGCUGAUAAGUCACAAAACAGUCACGCCCGGUGAGCGCCGAUUGCUGAUAAGUCACAAAACAGUCACGCCCUGACACUGGCGAUCGCUAAUACGUCACAGACACGGCCGGCGAGCGGGGAUUGCUGAUAAGUCACGUCAGAGACAUGCCCUGUGAUGGGCGAUCACUCAUACUUCACGUCAGACACACCCCGUGUGAGUGGCAAUUGCUGAUAAGUUAUGUCACAGACACGCCCAACUACUGGCGAUUGCUCAUACGUCACAUAACAAACACGGCCUGCGAGUGGCGAUUACUGAUAAGUCACAUCACAGUCACGCCCUGACAUUGACGAUC